GAUGAACGCUGGCGGCGUGCUUAACACAUGCAAGUCGAACGGGUCCUUUCUUUCGGGGAGGGGCUAGUGGCAGACGGGUGCGUAACACGUGGGUGACCUGCCCUGGAGUGGGGGAUAAUUCCGCUAACGCGGGACUAGUACCGCAUGAGCUCACUGAUUCGUUUUGGUGAGGAAAGCUAAGGUGCUCCGGGAUGGGCCUGCGGCGGAUUAGGUAGUUGGUGGGGUAACGGCCCACCAAGCCGAUGAUCCGUAGGGGGCGUGAGAGCGUGGCCCCCCACACUGGCACUGAGAUACGGGCCAGACUCCUACGGGAGGCAGCAGUGAGGAAUAUUGCACAAUGGGCGGAAGCCUGAUGCAGCAACGCCGCGUGAGGGACGAAGGCCUUCGGGUUGUAAACCUCUUUUCUGAGGGAAGAGAUAAGGACGGUACCUCAGGAAUAAGUCUCGGCUAACUACGUGCCAGCAGCCGCGGUAAAACGUAGAGGCGAGCGUUAUCCGGAAUUACUGGGCGUAAAGGGCACGCAGCGGCUUGGUAAGUUGGACGUGAAAGCUCCUGGCUUAACUGGGGAGAGUGCGUUCGAAACUGCUGAGCUGAGUUGGGA
rnacentral:rRNA from 1 species